rnacentral:tmRNA from 1 species
GGGGGUGAACGGUUUCGACUCCGUACGUUGAGUCAGGGGAAGCGUGCCGGUGCAGGCAGGAGACCACCGCAAGCGUCGCUGCACACUGAUAAGCGCCAACAAGAGUCGCGCUGACUUCGCCCUCGCCGCCUGAGGUUAGGUAGCGAAGUUGUCGGCCCGGGAGAGCCUCCGACCCGGUGUCCGGCAUCAUUGAGGAGGCUCCACCGUCAGGUUCGGUCGCGGGACCUGGCGGGACACUCACAGCGACUGGGCCCGUCACACCGGCUUGUCCGCAGGACCGGUGGGGCCGAGUAGAGGCAGAGCGGACUGCGCACGGAGAAGCCCUGAUAAGGCGACGGAGGACGCGGGUUCGAUUCCCGCCACCUCCACGG